GAUGAACGCUGGCGGCGUGCCUAAUACAUGCAAGUCGAGCGAACAGACGAGGAGCUUGCUCCUCUGACGUUAGCGGCGGACGGGUGAGUAACACGUGGAUAACCUACCUAUAAGACUGGGAUAACUUCGGGAAACCGGAGCUAAUACCGGAUAAUAUAUUGAACCGCAUGGUUCAAUAGUGAAAGACGGUUUUGCUGUCACUUAUAGAUGGAUCCGCGCCGCAUUAGCUAGUUGGUAAGGUAACGGCUUACCAAGGCAACGAUGCGUAGCCGACCUGAGAGGGUGAUCGGCCACACUGGAACUGAGACACGUUCCAGACUCCUACGGGAGGCAGCGGUAGGGAAUCUUCCGCAAUGGGCGAAAGCCUGACGGAGCAACGCCGCGUGAGUGAUGAAGGUCUUCGGAUCGUAAAACUCUGUUAUUAGGGAAGAACAAAUGUGUAGUAACUAUGCACGUCUUGACGGUACCUAAUCAGAAAGCCACGGCUAACUACGUG
rnacentral:rRNA from 1 species